GAUGAACGCUGGCGGCGUGCCUAAUACAUGCAAGUCGAGCGAAGCGGGGACGGGUGAGUAACGCGUGGAUAACCUCCUAUAAGACUGGGAUAACUUCGGGAAACCGGAGCUAAACCGGAUACUUAUCGUUGGAUCCGCGUUGCAUUAGCUAGUUGGUAAGGUAACGGCUUACCAAGGCAACGAUGCAUAGCCGACCUGAGAGGGUGAUCGGCCACACUGGAACGGAUACACGGUCCAUACUCCUACGGGAGGCAGCAGUAGGGAAUCUUCCACAAUGGGCGAAAGCCUGACGGAGCAACGCCGCGUGAGUGAUGAAGGUCUUCGGAUCGUAAAACUCUGUUAGUAGGGAAGCGGUACCUAAUCAGAAAGCCACGGCUAACUCCGUGCCAGCAGCCGCGGUAAUAC
rnacentral:rRNA from 1 species